CACCGCCCAUCAUACUAUAGGAGUUGGCUAUGCCUAAAGUCGAUAUCUUAAUCGCAAGGGGAUGAAUGUCGAAAGCAGGGCUUGCGACUGGAGUGAAGUCGUAACAAAGUAAUCAUACUGGAAGGUGCGGUG
rnacentral:ncRNA from 1 species